rnacentral:sRNA from 1 species
AUCAAUGGCGGGUUACAGAGCAGAUGAUGAAUACGAUU